rnacentral:rRNA from 1 species
AUACGAAGGAGGCUAGCGUUGUUCGGAAUUACUGGGCGUAAAGCGCGCGUAGGCGGACUGAUCAGUUGGGGGUGAAAUCCCAGGGCUUAACCCUGGAACUGCCUCCAAUACUGUCAGUCUUGAGUUCGGGAGAGGUGAGUGGAAUUCCUAGUGUAGAGGUGAAAUUCGUAGAUAUUAGGAAGAACACCAGUGGCGAAGGCGGCUCACUGGCCCGAUACUGACGCUGAGGCGCGAAAGCGUGGGGAGCAAACAGGAUUAGAAACCCUAGUAGUCC